AGCACUAAGUCACUUUGUCUUUAUGGCAAAUGUGAGAUGCAGUGUAUGGAAUGUCAAAUUUCUAGUAUGAGAAAUUAACGAUUUAAGUCCUUCUUAAAUGAGGCCAUUUACCCAAAGAGGGUGCCAGGCCCGUAUAACGUUAAUGAUUACUAGAUGGCAUUUCCAAAGAGUCGUGUUGCUUGAUAGUGCAGCACUAAGUGGGUGGUAAACUCCAUCUAAAACUAAAUAUAACCAUGAGACCGAUAGUAAACAAGUACCGUGAGGGAAAGUUGAAAAGAACUCUGAAUAGAGAGUUAAAUAGUACGUGAAACUGCUUAGAGGUUAAGCCCGAUGAACCUGAAUAUCCGUUAUGGAAAAUUCAUCAUUAUGAUUUUAAUAUUUAUAAUAUUAUAAUAAUGGUGUGCAUUUUUUCUAUAAAGGACAUUGUAAUCUAUUAACAUAAAUUAAUUUAUCAUAAGAUCAUUUGCGUAAGUUUAUUCAAAUUAUUUUGCUUGCAUUUUAAUAUCGAAUAAAUGCUUUUGAUUUGAUAAAGUGUUGAUAGAUUUAUUAUAUACAGUGCUUAAAUAUUUAUAUUUUAUAAUAGCAUAUUAAUCAAUGAUUUUUAUGUUCAUUAUAUGCACUUGUAUGAUUAACAAUGCGAAAGAUUCAGGAUACCUUCGGGACCCGUCUUGAAACACGGACCAAGGAGUCUAACAUAUUUGCAAGUUAUUGGGAAUAAAAACCUAAUAGCGAAAUUAACAUAACUUAUUUAAUGGGAUUAGUUUUUAGCCUAUUUAUAGUCUAUUAAUUCAAUCCCGGGGCGUUCUAUACAGUUAUGUAUAAUAAUAUUUAUAUUAUUUAUACCUCUAACUAGAGCGUACCUUGAGCAUAUAUGCUGUGACCCGAAAGAUGGUGAACUAUACUUGAUCAGGUUGAAGUCAGGGGAAACCCUG
rnacentral:rRNA from 1 species